rnacentral:rRNA from 1 species
GCUAAUACCGCAUGAUCUCUUCGGAGCAAAGAGGGGGACCUUCGGGCCUCUCGCGUCAGGAUUAGCCCAGGUGAGAUUAGCUAGUUGGUGAGGUAAGAGCUCACCAAGGCGACGAUCUCUAGCUGGUCUGAGAGGAUGAUCAGCCACACUGGAACUGAGACACGGUCCAGACUCCUACGGGAGGCAGCAGUGGGGAAUAUUGCACAAUGGGGGAAACCCUGAUGCAGCCCUGCCGCGUGUGUGAAGAAGGCCUUCGGGUUGUAAAGCACUUUCAGUUGUGAGGAAGGCGUUAUCGUUAAUAGCGGUAGUGUUUGACGUUAGCAACAGAAGAAGCACCGGCUAACUCCGUGCCAGCAGCCGCGGUAAUACGGAGGGUGCGAGCGUUUAUUGGAAUUACUGGGCGUAAAGCGCAUGCAGGCGGCUUGUUAAGCCAGAUGUGAAAGCCCGGGGCUCAACCUUGGAAUAGCAUUUGGAA